rnacentral:sRNA from 1 species
AGCAGGCAGCCUGCCAUGGGGCCCUGCUCCGGGGCCAGUCCCUCUGCUGGGACUCAGGGCUCCUGGGAUUCAUUAGUCUCCUCCUCAGUGUCUGCAGCACAACAGCCAACACUUCUGGAGCACAUGGCCCUGCAGUGAAGGAUUCUGGAGCUCACAUUUGUCUGAAGGGGAUCCGAGGAGGUUCUGUCUUGUUGAAUGUGAUUGAGAAGCUCAGAGUAGAUGUAGACGCCGAGCUGGAGGAGGUUGUAUGGACUUUGGGUAUUCUGUCAAAUCAUACACAGGUGCUGUGAGUCCACAGGGGGGCCGACUCUCCAACCUGGGUCGGCCUUGAGGAAAAGUUCAAGCAGAGGGUCCAUGUGCCUAGCGUGUUGUCUCUGAGGAUUGAGAACCUGGCCCCUGAUGACAGUGGGCAGUACAUGGCCAUGAUCCACUUAACUGGGGGACAAUUAUCUGGCCAGGUUUUCUACCUCACUGUCUAUGAGCCUGUGCCUCAUCCUGAGAUCCUGGCCAAGUCACUGUCUAUCAUACCAGGCUUGUGUAACAUCACCCUGGAGUGCAGGGCUCCAGGAGCCACAGAGGACCUGAAUGUGACUUGGGAGAGCAAGGACCUCCUCAGAGAGCUGGAGCACAGAGAAACACGAGGACCAGCCCCUAACCCCUGGAUCCUGGCUGUGAACCUGCCCUGAGCCACGCACUCCCUGUGGUCGCCUGGAUCAGGAACCUACCUGGGGUUCAUGUAGACUGGACAUGGCUCUCCUUCGCAAGAUAUUCUUGGAGUCAUUGCAUUUGUGCUGUUGAUCCUGAGAGCUGGGCUAUACCUCUGGAAGAAACGUGGGAAGAAGAAGAAGAAAGAUGAGGAGGAAGAAGAGGAGGAGGAGCAGAAGGAGGAGGAGCGGGAGGAGGCAGGAAUAGGCAGGUUGCAUUUCUCCAUCGAGGCCCAGAUAUCUCCCCUCCCCCACUAGAAUCUGGGUUCUCUUUCUCCUGAAAGAAUGUCAUUGUUUAGCUAUAUGAAUAACCCUAGAUAUAGCAUUGAGUUAACAUGUCCAAGAUAUUUGUUACUGGAAAAAACUGAACAGCAAUGCAUGGUAUGAUUUAAUUUUUGUAAAAGUGUAUAGAUAGGUAGAUAGAAAGAUAAGCACAGAAUAAAAUCUAUACUACAUGACAGAUUACCAACAGUGGCUCACUCAGAGGUGAGGAAUUCCUCAAGGUUUGCUUCUUUUUAGUUUAUAUAUGUAAUGUAAUAUUUUAUGUUAUUUGAAUCUUUUCAAUGCUCAGUCACUGUGAAGUCAAAGGAAACAAUUAAGACAAUUUUGUAGCUUAAUUCCAUUUAGCUAAUUAAUCCCCAUCUCUGUGGAUGCACCUCAUCUUCUCUGCUGAUUGUGACAUGGGGUAAAGACCCAACUCCAUUCCACCCCAUGCAGACACCAUAUACCUUUCCAGUUGCCAUGAACAAAUGAGAACAAACUCAUGUAAAACAAAGCGAUUCAUUCUUUACACACAUCUGGGAGGGAAAGCAGCUCCAGAAAAGGCCAUCUCUCAGGAUGAGGGCAAGGGCGGGAUUUCCUAUAGGAAAGCAACAAAGUUUCAGGAGGAAAAGCAAAUCAGUUAAACCAGUGCCUGACUUGUCAGAGAGCAUUGGUUGAUGUCUGACACUCAGCUUUAGGCAUGGCAGAGCCCCAAGUACAUAUGUGAAGUUUGGGCAGUUGUGUUCCCAUUCUCCAUCAAGCUGUUGCUGUUGUCGUUGUUUUUAUUCCCACCAAUGUCUGGAGCCCCAGGUGCCCUGGUUCCUUCUUGGGGCCUUGACUGCUUUAUCCUUACCUUCCAGAUUCAAUCUUCAGCAGCAGGCAAGUCCUCAGGCUGCAGCUCAGGGCUCAGGGGAAAUUUCCUUCCUCAGCCCAUGCCCAGGAGCCUACACCCACCCUGUACCUUUCCCCCAUGAUAGCCCUUUCUGGAAAACCUUUCCCCGUACCUCCACUUUGGAAUUAGGGUGCAAUAAGACCACACACUUGCCACAAAAGGUAUAUAGUUUUUUAAAUUGUACGUAUGAAGCAGCUUUUUUUUCCUUAUUUUAUUUGUAUUGUGCAGUAGUUGUACAUUUUUAAAAAGGAAAAAUGGUGCAAAACAGCAAUCCCUUGCCCUUCCUUCUCCACAUCUAGACUGGCUCUUCAAUGACAGUCACUUUCAACUAUAGCCUUUACGUCCAAGUUUCUCAAUAAUGUGCUGAUGUUACUAUCUUCAGUUCAAUUUUAGGCACUAACUAUUGACUUUUCAUUAUGAUAAGUGAGGAUUUUCCUCUCUCACAUGUCUUCCCUCCUUUAUCCUCCAUCCAACUGAUAUAGAUAUGUGACAUUUUUGGUUUAAAUCAAUAGUAUUUAUAGUCUGCAAUUCUACAAACAGCUAAAAUUAUUUAGCAUUUUUAUUGUAGGCCAGACACCAUUCUAAGGUGCCUUACAUCCAAUUACUAAUUUAACAUGUCACCAUCUCUAUCAUAUAUUAUAAUUAUCUCCAUUUUACAGAUGAGGAAAUUGAAACAUCUCUUGGUAAUUUGUGCAGCGUUCUGAAUCUAGGAGGUGGCACAGUUGGGAUUAGAAGCCAGGUAGUCCGGCUCCAGCAUCCAUGCUUUCAACUGCUAGGCAAUCCCCAAACUGAAGCCUGCUAUUGGGAGCUUACUAUUGUUCUUGCUGCUAGGGAUACAGAAGUGAACAAGACAAAUACCCAGCUCUCAUAGAGCUUGCAUUUCAGGAGGACACUGGAAAUGAACAAAUGCCCAAGUAGAGAGAGAAGGUCAGGUGGUGGCCAGGGGGUGGAGAUGAAGCAAGCGGAGGGAGGCAGGAGGGCAGCUCUUUUCUGUGGAUGCUCAGGGAAAGCCUCUUUGGAGAGGGAGCAUUUUAGGCCUGAGUCGAGUGUAAGAACGAUUUCAGUGAGCAGGAAGAGCCUUCCAGGCAGAGGAAAGGGCAUGUGCAGAUGCCUUCAGCUAAGGCUGGGCUGAAGUGCUGCAGAAGCAGUCACAAGGCCCCCGUGGCUGGAGUCAGUGAUGAAGGACCUUGAACUGAGGUGGGAGAGUGGCCUGGGCCUUCCUGUAUUAGGGUUAGGGAACUGAGAUAGCUGAGGUGGGAGAGUGGCCUGGGCCCGACUGUGGUGUGGUCUGGGAACCGGGAGAGCUGAGGUGGGAGAGAGGCCUGGGGUCAUAUCUUGUUGGUCCUGGAAAGCCAAGGUAAGGACAUGGAUUUUUUUUUUCCAGAUGGAGCCUCCCCCUGUCACCCAGGGUGGGGUGCAGUGGCACAAUCUCAGCUCACUGCAACCUCUGCCUCCUGGGUUCAAGCAAUUCUCCUGCCUCAGCCUCCCUAGUACCUGGGACUACAGGUGCGCGCCACUGCGCCUGGCUAAUUUUUGUAUUUUUAGUUGAGACGGGGUUUCACCAUGUUGGCCAGGCUGGUCUCGAACUCCUGAUCUCGUGAUCUGCCCGCCUCCACCUCCCAAAGUGCUGGGAUUACAGGCGUGAGCCUCUGUGCCCGGCCAAGGACAUGGAUUUUAUUGUCAGUGGGACGGGGGUGUUGACAGAGGAUUGUGAGCAGCAGAGAAGGAUAGUGUGACAUUGAUUUAAAGGCCCACACUUUUGGCGUGUGUUGAACCCACUGCUUGGCAUCCAGGCUGGAGCCAGGGAGGCAGCUGAGGAGGCCCAGCAGGAAUCCAGGAUGAGACACUGGUGGCUUGGCCUAGAGUGGAAGUGGUGAGAGGUGGGCUAAUUCAUGACACAUUCUGGAGAGUCAACAGGAUUUGCUGUCGGGUUGGAUGUGGAGUAUGAGAGGACGAGGAGUCCAGGGCGACCCCAAGGAUUGUGGCCUGAGUGCUGGGGGGAUGACGGUGCUGUUUACUGAGGUGGGGAGCGCUGGGGAAGGAGCAGGUUGGAGUGAGACUUUGAGAUGCACCAAGGCCUCCAGAGGAACUGUGCAGGCAUUUGGGCAUAUGAGUGUGGGCUCGGGGGGGAAGGUGAGCGUAGGCAGGGGAGUCCUGAAAGCAGGGACCGGGUGCUGGAAUGGUUAGAGGGUGUGAAGACAAGACUGAGAAGGAGCAAUCAGUGACACAGGAGGAAAGUCAGGUGAGUCUGGCAUCCAGGGAGCCAAGUAAAGAGAGUUUUUCUUGAGGAAUGGAGUGAUGCAUUGUGCCCGAGCUUGCUGAGAGUCCAGCAGGGUGAUGUCCGAGAGCAGCCCGCUGGAGUCAGCUGGGGGAGCUCAUGGGGACCUCCCAAUGGCCAGCGAAUUCUGUGGAUUCAGCAUCAUUCUCCUUCCUCAGAGAAGGCGUCCCUGAUCCUUAUGCCUCCUCCUCUGCCAGUAUCUGCACUUUCCCCUCUCUGUAUUUCUCAUGAUAGAUAGAAAUUUUGGCAUUUCCUUGUUUAAUGCCUCUCCUCCACUCGACUGCACAUGGCAUGGACAGGAGCACGCACGCUGCAGUCAUCUGAGUCCCCAGUACGUAGCGCUGUGCUUGGCACACAGGCCGUGCUCAGUGACUAUCUCAGGAAUGGAUGUGGAGUCAGCCCCCAUGAACCGGGACUCUGAACAGAGCCCAAUCAGUUUUCAGUUCUGCUUUCAUAGAGUCAGCAGUGGGAACAGGGUUUUUGUUUGGGACCUAACAUUCCUGGAUAAGAGAGGGGAGAAGCCUCACACACAGACCUGGCCGGCCUCUGUGGAAAUGAUGUCUGGACAUGCCUGAGUAUCUGACAGGAGCUGUGGUAACAAGAAAGAACAUGGGCUCAGGAGUGGCAGCACUUUAAAUAAGAUAACCUUUAUAUUUUAUAAAAGUUUUUCAUUUACAGAAACAUUGGGCAGAUAGUACCGAGAGUCCCACAGACUCCACACCUAGUUUCACCUUUUAUCAACAUCUUAUGCUAUUAACAUCUGUUACAAUUAAUGAACCGAUAUGGAUACAUUCUUAUGAACUCAAGUCCAUACUUUCUUCAGACAUCCUUAGUUUUUACGCGAUGUCCUUUUCUUUUCCCAGAUCCCACCCUACACAUCUGUGUAGGCUCCUCUGGGCUGUGACAGCUACUCAGACUUUCCUUGUUUUCGCUGACAUUCGUGAGGGGUACUGGUCGUGUGUUUUGAAGAAUGUUCCUCAAUUGGGAUUUGCCUGAUGUUUCUCUCAUGAUGAGACUUGGAAUUUAGGUUUUGGGGAGGAGGAUGACAGAGGUAAAGUGCCAUUUUCAUCCCGUCAUUUGAGGGUGCAUGCUCUCAUCGUGACAUUACUAUUGAUGCUGACCUCAACUAUCUUGACAAAGGUAAAGCUUGCUGAGUUUCAUCCAUUGUAAAGUGACUCCUUUUUCCCCUCUUCCACACUGUUCUCUUUGAAAAGAAGUCACUGUGUGCAGCCCAGACUUAAAGAGUGGGGAGUUAAACUUUACCUCCUUGAGAGUGGAAUGUCUUCACACAUUACUUGGAAUUUUCUGCACAGAAGAUUUUUUCUCCAUUUACUUGUUUCCCAUUUAUUUAUUCAAUCAAUCAUUCCCCUUUUUUAAUUUCUUUAUUUCUUUCUUUAUUCAAUCAAUCAUUUAUUUGUAUCAGUAUAAAGUCAUUGAUAUGUAUUUUAUGCUUCGGUCUAUAAUCCAAAGCCACUAUAUUUAUUUUGUAGCUCAGAUUGUUCCAGUUUGGCCAUUUGGUGCCGUGUUCUUUUGACACAGCCUCAUCACUGUGUGCCUUUUUUUUUGAGCACUUUCUUACUUGGAC